UGUGGUAUACUUAUGCCAGUAAGAUUGAAGUAUGGGUAUACAGCUAAGUGUUUCAGAGUGAACAACGCGCCCUCAAUCGAGCGGCGUGUUUUUUUUGUUCUAAAGCCUGCGCGUACUCUUCAAAUCAACUUACUAAAUAAAACAAAAGAGGUAACAAAAACAUGAAGGGAAGAGUCAAGUGGUUCAACGAUCAAAAAGGCUACGGGUUCAUCACUCCUGAGGACGGCUCACCGGACGUAUUCGUCCACCAUUCGGGCAUCCAGAUCCAGGGCUUCAAGUCCCUGGCUGAGAACCAGAUGGUCGAGUUCGACACCGUCGCAUCCGACAAAGGCCCGAAAGCGGCCAAUGUCAAACCGUUGAGCUAAGCGCAAAACGCGCAGCACAAUCAAAGAUCCCGCGUGAGGAAACUCACGCGGGAUCUUUUUA
rnacentral:sRNA from 1 species